GUUGAUAUGUCUGAGUUGUUAAGGAGACGGACUUGAAAUCUAUUGGUCUUUACUGACAUAGGAUCAAACCUUGUUGUCGAUA